rnacentral:rRNA from 1 species
CCUACGGGUGGCAGCAGUGAGGAAUAUUGGUCAAUGGGCGAGAGCCUGAACCAGCCAAGUAGCGUGAAGGAUGACUGCCCUACGGGUUGUAAACUUCUUUUGUAGGGGAAUAAAGUGAGGCACGUGUGCCUUAUUGUGUGUACUUGAUGAAUAAGGAUCGGCUAACUCCGUGCCAGCAGCCGCGGUAAUACGGAGGAUCCGAGCGUUAUCCGGAUUUAUUGGGUUUAAAGGGUGCGUAGAUGGGUGGUUAAGUCAGUUGUGAAAGUUUGCGGCUCAACCGUAGAAUUGCCUUUGAUACUGGCAGCCUUGAGUACAGGUGAGGUAGGCGGAAUGCGUGGUGUAGCGGUGAAAUGCUUAGAUAUCACGAAGAACUCCGAUUGCGAAGGCAGCUUACUAAACUGCCACUGACAUUGAUGCUCGAAAGUGUGGGUAUCAAACAGGAUUAGAUACCCCGGUAGUC